AUUCAACAAUAGGGGAAAAGACAGAGACAAUGGGAAAUUGUGCUUCCGAUGGGGUGGGGACUGAGAAGGAAAGGACAGACAGACAGACAGACAGGAGGUUGUACAGAAGAGGUCCGGUUUCCUGAAGCAGCUGGAAGUCCUGGAUGGUUCCCACCUGAAAGUCCGUUUGCAAAGGCAAUGCGCACUCAGGCACCAGAGGGCAGAGGACAGAAGCUUUUCCUCAAAGGUGCAAAAGGAGCAACUGUGUUGAACAGGGGCUCAAGUUCCAGGGUUUUAAGGUGCUUGGAACUCCCAGGAGCCUGGCAAAACCUUCAUCCAGAACCUCUUCCUCAAGCAAGACAAAAAGCUGCUAAGCACUGCUCCCUCCGUCUCUGUGAAGAGACCAGCUUCUAACAGACAGUGCUGGGCUGACCCCCCAUCAUGCCAGGCUGGCUCACCCUCUCCACACUCUGCCGCUUCCUUCUUUGGGCCUUCACCAUCUUCCACAAAGCCCAAGGAGACCCAGGUAAGACCCCAGCCCAGGCCAGAAUCUGGGGAAAUCUUGGGGAGUCUGCAAGGGUGGGGAAAGGGGAAAGGGCAGUUGUUGCAGGAGUGAAAGUCAUUGCUGAGAAGGCAAUGGAGGAGAGGGUUGGGGGGCUCUGGAGAAAGCAUUUGGGGAGCAGGGUCUGUUGGGCACUUGGGGCAGUGAGGAUCGGGGGUUCCUGCCACUGU
rnacentral:sRNA from 1 species